UACAGAGGUCUCAAGCGUUGUUCGGAUUCAUUGGGCGUAAAGGGUGCGUAGGCGGGUUGGUAAGUCCGUGGUGAAAUCCCCAAGCUUAACCUGGGAACUGCCGUGGAUACUAUCAAUCUUGAAUAUCGUGGAGGUAAGCGGAAUAUGUCAUGUAGCGGUGAAAUGCUUAGAUAUGACAUAGAACACCAAUUGCGUAGGCAGCUUACUACACGAUCAUUGACGCUGAGGCACGAAAGCGUGGGGAGCAAACAGG
rnacentral:rRNA from 1 species